GACAUACCCAAAAUGCUCAACCUUUCCCCGUAAAAUUACUUCUUGUGGCUCCACAAAGAUGUUUUCGAUCUUCUUAGACCAUAGUUGCCCUAAUGAUGACAUAUUGUAAACAAGGCUUCUAGUAGAAGAAAGAAGCCCUUCGACAGAUCGCUCAGGGGUUUUUUCGGUGCGGGACGGUCGGGAAUCUCCUGUGAGAGUGCGCUCUGCCAAAGAGGGGCUUAAGAAUCGUGGCCGUGUCAGCAAACCCUAACUUGCGAUGUUUUUUGGACUCUUCUUCCAUCAGUGUUGGCACUGGGAGUUACUUGUAGGCUACGUGACAUGGGGUUGGUGUUUCGGUGGCUGGGUUGCCUCCUGCUCAUCGGCCACGACACUCUUCAGAUUGUGGUGUUGGGAGCUCUGCUCUUGGCUCAAAUGUUGUCCCAUCGUCUCCACCCCUUGGACGGGAAAACUCUUCUAGGUUUGGCGAUCCUUGUCCCCUUGGUUCUGCUAUUCGCAUAUUAAAAUACUUGGAUAGGUUAUGUUGUGAAACGAGAUACUCUUUGGAAUUCGAUCCGACGACCUAGUGGCUAUCAAUUGAAAAGAGCCUUGGAUAAUUGCAGCAUAGCCAGACAAAUUUCUGGUCUUAUUCUCCUCAUGCAGAAUUACAUCAUAUUAUUAGCGGUAAUUUAACCUGGAGGAUUAACAAGAGGGAAAUCUAUGGAGAUAAAAUGGAGGAGUUUUCACAACGGUCUUGUUACCGUUCAGGGUAGUGCAAUUCUGAGGGUGACUUCAGAGAGCUAGACAAAAAAACUGGGUUGACUAUAGAUGAACAACUUUAAAUUUGAGUCUCUUGCAUCUAUUGUAUUCUUGAGUCUUAAAAGACAUAAGAAACCUAUGGGAGGGCAGCUAAAAGGAGGUGAAAGGGACAUGAUUGUGAAGGACAAAAUUUUGACAUCAGGGUUAAGAUAUAUUGUCACCAAAGUUGCUAUAGUUUAGCUCAAACAUAAAUCUGGAGG